rnacentral:rRNA from 1 species
CCUACGGGAGGCAGCAGUGGGGAAUAUUGGUCAAUGGGCGGAAGCCUGAACCAGCCAAGUCGCGUGAGGGAAUAAGGCCCUACGGGUCGUAAACCUCUUUUGCCGGGGAGCAAGGGCGGGGACGUGUCCCGGCCCGGAGAGUACCCGGAGAAAAAGCAUCGGCUAACUCCGUGCCAGCAGCCGCGGUAAUACGUAUGGUGCAAGCGUUAUCCGGAUUUACUGGGUGUAAAGGGAGCACAGGCGGCGCGUUAAGCCUGGUGUGAAAGCCCGCGGCCCAACCGCGGGACUGCAUUGGGAACUG